AUUAUCCAUGGAUAAUGUAAAGCUGUGCUCACAUAAGAUGCGAGAAAGGGAGAAAAUUUGAGAGGAAGAACGUAGGUAGAAACAAAAAAAUUUCAAACUGCAUGCAUGUGUGUGUAUUUCCACAAUUCCACAUUCUUGGUUUUAUUGAGUCAUACAAGUCAAAAGAAGCAAGGAAACAAAAAGACAUUCAAUAACAAAAAAAUUUUAGGAGCCUGACGACACUAAAUGAAGCACAAAAGUUGUCUCCAACUUCAAAAGUGUUUCCUGAAAAACUCUUAGUCCUGUUUAAAGCGGAAAUGAACAUGCAUAGAGAGUCCAGGACAUGAUGUUUCAAAAACCAUAAGCAAGUGGAAUGCAAAGCAAAGUCUGAAUAAAGGGUGAAGUAUCUUGUGAAUUGAUAGUAGCAGGACAUGAGGACAUUCGAAACACUAUGAAAGACUUGGACAUAAAAAAUAUUAUUUAGUCACUCUGCCAACUCCAGUGUAUUCAUGCAAAUACAAAUAUAACAGUUUGCUUACAGGAACACAUGAAUGUUAGCUACCACUCAGUGAUUUUGACAGCCAAGCUCAAUGCAACAAGGAAGGUGACAAAGCUGAAAGCAACUAAACUUUCUAGCUGAAAGGAUUUCUGCCAGAUGGCGCAUUGCUCUGAAAAUGAACAUUUCUAAAAGUUUUUAACUGAUGUAAUCUCCUAGGUGCAGAGAAACCAUGCAAAAAGUGUAUUUCUCAAGUAUUUUCCAACCAUAUGUAGGUGAAUUCCAUAA